UAUACGACUCUCGGCAAUGGAUAUCUCGGCUCUCGCAUCGAUGAAGAACAUAGCGAAAUGCGAUACUUGGUGUGAAUUGCAGAAUCCCGUGAACCAUCGAGUCUUUGAACGCAAGUUACGCCCGAGUCCUUUCGGUUGAGGGCACGCCUGCCUGGGCGUCACGC
rnacentral:rRNA from 1 species